rnacentral:rRNA from 1 species
UUGACGCCGCGUGGAGGAUGAAGGUCUUCGGAUUGUAAACUCCUGUCAUGAGGGAGUAAGACAUCGCGUUAACUGCGUGGGUGUUUGAUAGUACCUCAAGAGGAAGAGACGGCUAACUCUGUGCCAGCAGCCGCGGUAAUACAGAGGUCUCAAGCGUUGUUCGGAUUCAUUGGGCGUAAAGGGUGCGUAGGCGGUUGGGUAAGUCAGACGUGAAAUUCCAGGGCUCAACCCUGAAACUGCGUUUGAUACUGCCUGACUAGAGUACUGGAGAGGAGACUGGAAUUCACGGUGUAGCAGUGAAAUGCGUAGAUAUCGUGAGGAAGACCAGUGGCGAAAGCGAGUCUCUGGACAGUAACUGACGCUGAGGCACGAAGGCCAGGGGAGCAAACGGGAUUAGAUACCCCGGUAGUCCUGGCAGUAAACGGUGCACGUUUGGUGUGGGAGGAAUCGACCCCUUCCGCGCCGGAGCUAACGCGUUAAACGUGCCGCCUGGGGAGUACGGUCGCAAGAUUAAAACUCAAAGAAAUUGGCGGGGGCCCGCACAAGCGGUGGAGUAUGUGGCUUAAUUCGAUGCAACGCGAAGAACCUUACCUAGGCUUGACAUGCAUCUCUAAG